UUAACACUUCAUGAUUGAGAGCAGCCCUUCAGUCAACACAAUCUGAAACAACAAUGAGUUUUAUAAUUCCCUUCAUCUGCUCGCUGAUAAUCUUCACUCAUGAUUCCAGUGGACAGACUUUGACUCAGUCUCCAUCAGCUAAAUCUGUUCUCCCUGGAGAUACUGUCACUAUCAACUGCAAAGCCAGCAGCUCUGUAGGCAGCUACCUAAACUGGUACCUGCAGACACCUGGAGAAGCUCCUAAACUCCUGAUCUACAGAGCAAGCAGCCUUCAAUCUGGGAUCCCAGCUCGUUUCAGUGGCAGUGGAUCUGGGACUGACUUCACUCUGACCAUCAGCGGUGUCCAGGCUGAAGAUGCAGGAGAUUAUUACUGUCAGCAGGGUAGCAGCUCCCCUCUCACACAGUGAUACAUGUCCGUACAAAAACCUCCCUCAGCUUGACUGCACAGUGACUGCACUGCUGCAGCUGGACCUGCUGCAGGUGCUGAGGGGGAAGACAAUGACAGUUGCUCGAGACUG